rnacentral:lncRNA from 1 species
UUCUACAUCCUGUUCUCACCAAAUGGUGAGUUUCAGUAAUAAAAUUCUACAGGGAACUUCUCUUCUGCUGUAUUCUCUUGCUGUGUGUUCAUUCCUUCUCUCCCCCCACCCUACAGGUGACCUGGGCCUUUCUACACUUCCCCUUCUGACUCUUUCCAGUCAGAAAUCUGAAGGCAGCUGUCCUGCUCCAUCCAGGGCAAACAACAUGAUGGUCCUUUAAGAAAUCACUUCAAGGCUGACACCUUACUGGUCUGGACCUUCUGGAGUAAAAGAUGAGUGCAAAGUGUUUGCAAGAGACCCUGCCUCCAUACUCUCUUCUCCGUGAUGGAGAAACACAUCAGGCACGUGGGAUCCCAGAGGGCUAUUGCAGUGCAUGACUGCCCAUGAGCAAGCUGCAGGCUCAGGGAGAUGAUGAAAAGAAGAAGUCAAAUGGGUAAAUCCCAUGCCCAGCAUGUGAGAUGUGACAAAUCUGCUGCUCUGACCUGGGAGUGUCUUACACAGUCAUAAACAUCUUCAGCAGGGUGAGCUCAGUGGAGAAGCAGCCUCUCUUCUGGGAUAGCUGUUGGUGCAGGUUGGAGAUGUGAGCUAUGUAUUCCCCAUUCAUUUUCAGCUCCAUUCAUGGCACUGGAAAACACUGCUCAGCUCCUACACCUCUCUCCAGCUUUUGUCUUACAAAUUUUUCAGAUAAUGCCACACUGAAGCUUUAGGUUUUGUCUUUUUAAAAGCUGACAGAUUUAAAGACCAGUUUUCCUAAGCUCUUUGUGAAUGCUGUAAUAAAUAAACAAAAAUUGAAGUUAGUAUUAAAGGCACAAAGAUCUCUCUCCCUGCCUAUCUCAUGCUGUUUAUGUCCUUACGUCAUUGCUUUUGCUACAUGAAUAUUCAAGGAGUUUAUGGCAGCAUUCAGCAGCACCUGCAGGAUUUGGUCUGACCUCCUAUGGGACUGCCUUUGGGAUUCAGGUCUUCUUGAUCCCCUUCAUCCCUGUCUGCUGGACAUUCACUUAAAGUUUAAUUAAGAAGAGAGUGGGAGAACUAUACCAACAGAUCUGUAACACAGACCUAUAGACUUGUCACAUCUGUGAUGAGUUUCUCUGGACCACACAAGUGUCAGCACUGCCUUGGCUUUGCAGCCACCAAAAAAAAUCCCAUUGCACUGAUAUAUUUCUCACUUUGAGUCUGGCCUUGUGGAGAGAGGACCAAUUUGUCCAGCCCCAAGGCAAUUCACUGCUCAAAGCCAGGGUCACAACCACAAUUUUCAGUGUUCAUCUAAACAGUUGGGUGAAAGGUGAUAGUAUAAAUGAAACAAGCACAUAGCAGCACUGAUAGCAGGGAAAUGGGCGUUAGACAGUGGUUUGAAGGCUCAUCAACAAGCAAGGUAUAUCCUGCCC